UGACCUCGGAUCAGGUAGGGAUACCCGCUGAACUUAAGCAUAUCAUACGGAGGAACA
rnacentral:rRNA from 1 species